CAUGAAGCUGGAUUCGCUAGUAAUCGCGCAUCAGCCACGGCGCGGUGAAUACGUUCCCGGGCCUUGUACACACCGCCCUCAAGCCAUGGAAGCCGGGAGUGCCUGAAGUACGCGACCGCAAGGAGCGUCCUAAGGUAAAACCGGUGACUGGGGCUAAGUCGUAACAAGGUAUC
rnacentral:rRNA from 1 species